UAUCUACGUGAAUUGUCUGUGCUGUGCC
rnacentral:piRNA from 1 species